UCUCGUCUGUGUGUGUGUGUACGUAGGGGUUCUAAUCUGUCAAUUGUGUGUGUGUAUGUAGGGGUUCUAGUCGGUCGACCGUGUGUGUGUACGUAGGGGUUCUAGUCUGUCGACCGUGUGUGUGUGUGUACACAUAGGAGUUCUAGUCUGUCGACCGUGUGUGCGCGUACGUAGGGGUUCUAGUCUGUCGACCGUGUGUGCGUGCACUUAGGGGUUCUCGUCUGUGUGUGUGUACGUAGGGGUUCUAAUCUGUCAAUUGUGUGUGUGUACGUAGGGGUUCUAGUCGGCCGACCGUGUGUGCGCGUACAUAGGGGUUCUAGUCUGUCGACCGUGUGUGCGUGCACUUAGGGGUUCUCGUCUGUGUGUGUGUGUGUACGUAGGGGUUCUAAUCUGUCAAUUGUGUGUGUGUACCGAGGGGUUCUAGUCGGUCGACCGUGUGUGUGUACGUAGGGGUUCUAGUCUGUCGACCGUGUGUGUGUGUGUACACAUAGGGGUUCUAGUCUGUCGACCGUGUGUGUACGUAGGGGUUCUAAUCUGUAAAUUGUGUGUGUACGUAGGGGUUCUAGUCGGUCGACCGUGUGUGCGCGUACGUAGGGGUUCUAGUCUGUCAACCGUGUGUGCGCGCACUUAGGGGUUCUAGUCGGUCGACCGUGUGUGCGCGCACGUAGGGGUUCUAGUCGGUCGACCGUGUGUGCGCGCACGUAGGGGUUCUAGUCGGUCGGCCGCGUGUGCGUGCACGUAGGGGUUCUAGUCUGUCGACCGCGUGUGCGCGCACGUAGGGGUUCUAGUCUGUCGACCGCGUGUGCGCGCACGUAGGGGUUCUAGUCUGUCGACCGCGUGUGCGCGCACGUAGGGGUUCUAGUCUGUCGACCGCGUGUGCGUGCACGUAGGGGUUCUAGUCUGUCGACCGCGUGUGCGUGCACGUAGGGGUUCUAGUCUGUCGACCGCGUGUGCGUGCACGUAGGGGUUCUAGUCUGUCGACCGCGUGUGCGUGCACGUAGGGGUUCUAGUCUGU
rnacentral:lncRNA from 1 species